rnacentral:rRNA from 1 species
UCUACGGGAGGCAGCAGUGAGGAAUAUUGGUCAAUGGACGAGAGUCUGAACCAGCCAAGUAGCGUGAAGGAUGACUGCCCUAUGGGUUGUAAACUUCUUUUAUAUGGGAAUAAAAUGUUCCACGUGUGGGAUUUUGUAUGUACCAUAUGAAUAAGGAUCGGCUAACUCCGUGCCAGCAGCCGCGGUAAUACGGAGAAUCCGAGCGUUCUCCGGUUUUAUUGGGUUUAAAGGGAGCGUAGGUGGAUUGUUAAGUCAGUUGUGAAAGUUGGCGGCUCAACCGUAAAAUUGCAGUUGAAACUGGCAGUCUAGAGUACAGAAGAGGUGGGCGGAAUUCGUAGUGUAGCGGUGAAAUGCUUAGAUAUCACGAAGAACUCCGAUUGCGAAGGCAGUUCACUGGACUGCAACUGACACUGAGGCUCGAAAGUGUGGGUAUCAAACAGGAUUAGAUACCCUUGUAGUC